GAGUUGGUCAUACGGUCGCGGGCUGCUUUUGCAGCGUGAGGAAAGUCCGAGCAUCGCAGGGCAGGAUGCCUGCUAACGGCAGGUGGAGGCGACUUUAAGGAAAGUGAACAGAAAUAUACCGCAGCAAUAUGCUGUAAGGUUGGAAUGGCGAGGUAAGAGCUCACCGUCGCCCCGGCAACGGGGCGAGCCAAUUAAACCCCAUCCGAUGCAAGAUUGGGGUAGGGGCUGCGUUAAAUCGCAGGGCUGCCCGUCCGCCCCUAUCCGUUAAUAUCGCUUUAGCUUAUCGGCGACGGUAAGCAUAGAUAGAUGACCGUACACGACAGAACUCGGCUUACAGAUCAAG
rnacentral:RNase_P_RNA from 1 species